AUACGGAGGGUGCAAGCGUUGUUCGGAAUCACUGGGCGUAAAGGGCGCGCGGGCGGUUUGGUAAGUCAGAUGUGAAAGCCCACGGCUCAACCGUAGAAGUGCAUUUGAAACUGUCAGACUUGAGUACUAGAGGGGAAAGUGGAAUUCCCGGUGUAGAGGUGAAAUUCGUAGAUAUCGGGAGGAAUACCGGUGGCGAAGGCGACUUUCUGGCUAGAUACUGACGCUGAGGCGCGAAAGCGUGGGGAGCAAACAGCAUUAGAUACCCCAGUAGUCC
rnacentral:rRNA from 1 species